UUCUGUCGAGCCAUGGUCUUGAUUUCUGAGUCCCAAUGUUGAAACUAGAUAAAUGAAUGUUUUAUGCAUAGGCAUUUUAAUAACGUACACAAUUCGAUUCUCCUCAAAAACUGUAGCCAAUAAACGCAGAAGCCUCUCCUGGCAUUUUACUAUACAUAUAGUGAUUGUAGUCUUACUCUCAUCUAUGAUCUAUGGCCUAUGCUGCUUUAUUCCUGCAAUCGCAUAUCUCGAAAACUGCUGAGCAGUCGCUGUCAGCACGAACUGUACAAUGUUGAUUUAUGGGGAAGCCGAGUCACUGCAAGCGUGGAACUCUGUGGACGUCCACGACGUCAACAGCCGCUGGCUGCAGAACGGCCGCGUGAUCAAUGUGGCGAAGGGGGGUCUGAUCGUGGAUUUCGAAUGUGCGACACAGCGCGCACAGUUUGUCGAAUACGGGUGUAUGACGCGCUGCCGGUACCUCUCGUACACAGAAAGCUUCGGACCGCCGGAGGUGUUGGUGCUGCUGCGACGACAGCCCGACCGGGCGUGGGUGUGGUAUCCGGGGAAGUUAGUCGGGCUGGGAGAGUGCUGCCCGACGGGUUGGCAGUGCGUGGACGUGUCCAUGCCACAGGGGACCGUCAGAGAACUGGUUCCACAAGUCCGUCCUGUCCUCAUGGAGGAUGAUCUGCAGGGGUUGCGCGUGGUUAAGGGUGAUUUCGUGAUCCGCAGCUGUCCGCUGCCGCGCUCCUUCUGGUGCGACGGUUCCCAGUUGGUCCAGGAGAUCUUUAAGUGCAAUUUGAGCCUACGGCACGAUGUCUGGUGCACGGUGGUGCUCAGCCAGACGCUUCUCUAUCUGCAGUGGCGGGGCGACAAUCCGUUGACGCGUGAACAAGUCAAACGAGAGUACAAGACAUCGAAGAUCGAUGGAAUAGCUGAAUUUUCAUUGCGGACAGCUCGAUGGUUGCACCGUCAUACGACUCUUUACACACGCGACAAGGAACGCAAGAUCGGGAGCAACAAGAAUGCAGCGAGCCUGCUGUUGCCACCCGAUCGAGAUUAUGGUACAGAUUCUCCAGCCCCUGGACUCCGUCGAGCGCAGCCGCUGUUGACGGGUGUGCCCAAUGUUCGACAGCCUCCUCACCAGCGCCAUCCACUUUCCCGACGUGCACGUCACCGGCCGGUCGGUGGAUCCUGACCGGGCGCUCUUGAGCGGCCUGUACUGGACGGUGGCCUGCUUACUGAAAUGGCUUAGCCAGGACACCAGCACGCUGAUCAUCACCGGGCUGGGCGUGCGGGACAGCCGGCGCAUGAUGUCGCUUAUCCGCUAUAGUCUACCGGCUCCACGCAUUGGUUGGCUGGUGUUCGACGAUUGCCGGUUUUUCAUGGAUUAUGUCGAUGAGGGCCAGCAUGAGGCUGAUGGCGCCAUCGAAGACGAUGACAGUCUGGCCGGGGAUUUAGCCUUGUGUGACCGGAUGGUGUGGAAGAACUGCCACAUCUCGGACGAUUAUUUGCAAGCAUUUGUAGCGCGGCAUGUGUUCGAGGCUCCGUCGCGGCAAGAGCUGGAUCGUGAACUGUGGGAUGUGUUUGAGAAGAGUCUCGUUCUCCCGGAGCCGGUCAAUUUGCCGGCUUUGUCCCUGUGGGUUGCUGGUCGUGUUGCUGACCACCAGAAACAGCAGAUAGCAAUGUUUUCCGUAACAAUAUUUGGCGUGCACCAGCUAUGCGAAAUGCACUUCAGGAAAAUAGCCCGGUAUAUAUUGUCACAAAUGGAUUACAUACACUCAAACUUUCGCUUUCCUUUUUAUGUCAUUUUAUAGCCAAUUGAUUUGUACAAUGUUCUGAAAGCCCUUAUCUCGGCAUCCGAAUGUUGCGCGCGCAGUCUACUUUAUGGCCUUAUCACCUUUAUGUCCUUUACAUCCAAGUUUCAAGAAGAUCAAUUCGCCAUAUCUCGGCAACCGGAUGAUGCGCGCGCAAACGGUUUUCAGAACAAGACUCCAUACAAUAAGCUGGUCCUGGACUUAUACCAGAGCGCGGAUCCGCGCCUGUCCACGGCUUACCGCGGGCGGCAGUGGAUGCUGUCCGAUAUUUGCGAUCUGGAUGUCAGCAGGCUGACCACGUUGACUGUGGCUGUUUUGAACGUCAUUAGACCAGUCUACAUCACCUGAAAACUGAGGAGAAAACAUUGGCUUCUUUCGGACUUCAGAUUGUACUAUUGUGUAAGCACGUUCCUCUUACCUAGCUAUUUGGCUACAAUAAUGUGCAACAUCAUCGGAUUCUGCUUAUUUUUAUCGUAUUCUGUCUAAUGUAUAGUGAAUCAAUGACCUCUUUGUUCUGAUGGCUUUGUGCAUGACGUGGCCUUGUGGCGUAUUAGUGUACAGUAGAGAGUGAACACGUAUAGCAAUAAUUGUGUG